CCGGCUGGGACUAAGCCAUGGUAGUCAUGGGGCGCGAGCCGCUUCUGCGGUUCGCGCACCCGGCCGGACAGCUCAGUAACACGUGGCCAACCUACCCUCGGGAGGGGGAUAACCCCGGGAAACUGGGGCUAAACCCCCAUAGGGGAUGGGUGGUGGAAUUCCCCCAUCCCCGAAAGUGCACCGUUCCCGUAAGGGACGGUGCAGCCCGAGGAUGGGGCUGCGGCGGAUUAGGUAGUUGGCGGGGUAACGGCCCGCCAAGCCGAAGAUCCGUACGGGCCAUGAGAGUGGGAGCCCGGAGAUGGACCCUGAGACAAGGGUCCAGGCCCUACGGGGCGCACCAGGCGCGAAACCUCCGCAAUGCGGGAAACCGCGACGGGGUCAGCCGGAGUGCCCGCGCAUCGCGCGGGCUGUCGGGGAGCCCAAAAAGCUCCCCACAGCAAGGGCCGGGCAAGGCCGGUGGCAGCCGCCGCGGUAAUACCGGCGGCCCGAGUGGCGGCCACUAUUAUUGGGCCUAAAGCGUCCGUAGCCGGGCUGGUAAGUCCCCCGGGAAAUCUGGCGGCUUAACCGUCAGAAUUCCGGGGGAUACUGCCAGCCUAGGGACCGGGAGAGGCCGGGGGAAUUCCCGGGGUAGGGGUGAAAUCCUAUAAUCCCGGGAGGACCACCUGUGGCGAAGGCGCCCGGCUGGAACGGGUCCGACGGUGAGGGACGAAGGCCAGGGGAGCGAACCGGAUUAGAUACCCGGGUAGUCCUGGCUGUAAACGAUGCGGGCUAGGUGUCGGGCAAGCUACGAGCUUGCCCGGUGCCGGAGGGAAGCCGUUAAGCCCGCCGCCUGGGGAGUACGGCCGCAAGGCUGAAACUUAAAGGAAUUGGCGGGGGAGCAC
rnacentral:rRNA from 1 species